rnacentral:tRNA from 1 species
GCCUGGAUGGCUCAGUCGGUUGAGUGUCUGACUGCGGCUCAGAUCAUGAUUUCAUGGUUCGUGGGUUCAAGCCCCGCAUCGGGCU